rnacentral:rRNA from 1 species
UUCCUACGGGGCGCAGCAGUGGGGGAUAUUGCACAAUGGGGGAAACCCUGAUGCAGCGAUGCCGCGUGGGCGAAGAAGUAUUUCGGUAUGUAAAGCCCUAUCAGCAGGGAAGAAGAAAUGACGGUACCUGAGUAAGAAGCACCGGCUAAAUACGUGCCAGCAGCCGCGGUAAUACGUAUGGUGCAAGCGUUAUCCGGAUUUAUUGGGUUUAAAGGGUGCGUAGGCGGUCCGGAAAGUCAGCGGUAAAAGCCCGGGGCUCAACCCCGGCGAGCCGUUGAAACUGUCGGACUAGAGACGGCGAGAAG